rnacentral:rRNA from 1 species
UACAGAGGUCCCAAGCGUUGUUCGGAUUCACUGGGCGUAAAGGGUGCGUAGGCGGUCGGGUAAGUCUGAUGUGAAAUCUCACAGCUUAACUGUGAAACUGCAUUGGAUACUAUCCGGCUCGAGGAAUGGAGGGGAGACUGGAAUUCCUGGUGUAGCGGUGAAAUGCGCAGAUAUCAGGAGGAACACCGGUGGCGAAGGCGGGUCUCUGGGCCGAUACUGACGCUGAGGAGCGAAAGCAUGGGUAGCGAACAGG